rnacentral:lncRNA from 1 species
CUUUAAAACAAUUUUUUUUUCCAGUGCUUCUCAAGUUUUCUACAAAUCAGUGUCUGUUAUUUUUAGAAUGUAGUAAAGUUUUUUUUUCUCUUUUUUAAAGGGAACUGACAAAGGAAAGAUAAAGCAUGACUUUUAGAGACCUGUGGGUCUGGGACCAUAGUUCAGCCUGGGACAUCGGCCAAAUUACUUCUUCUGGCAGAAUAAGCACAAAGCUGGCAUCAAGUGAACAUCAGUGCCGGGGUGCUUACAGAUGCUCUCAGGGAUUCCGAUAGGUUCUGUGAUUUCCACACGGGUACAUUCAGUGUUCUCUACGCAGCGGGCAUCAGCUCAGGAGACCCCAGGAUUUCAGUGUCAGGUCUGGAGGGCAGUCUGCCGGGGCGUUUGGCAGGCGGGGUCGGGCUGGUCCAGGGAAGCUGUCCGGUGUCCUAUGGGACCACUGAGGUCCUUGGGGGGAAGGGUGUGGGCUUGGGGUGGGCUUAGGGUCAAGCAGAGACCUUUGCAGCCCUUGGGGCCCUCAUCCCUGCUUCACGGGCAAGGACCCUGGAAGAUGCACAGUGCUGAAAAGUGCUCAGUCCUGUGGGCCCCGUAAGCCCCUUCUCAGUGGGUUCGGGUGUGGGCUUGUGGGCAGGGGGUCGGCUGUCUUCAGUCUUCCCCGACACGGGGCGCCCAUCUCAGACUCAGGGGUGCUGCUCCCUCCUGGCUUCCUUGCAGUCUUCAGCUCCUCCGUGGGGACAGUUAAGUCAGUGCCUCAUCUCAGAUGCAACACUGGCUCAUGAUCAUGAAAAGAUGGGACCCCCAGGGCUUCUCGAAAAGCUGGGAUCUUUUCUCAGCUGAGGAAGACUCAUGGGCCAUUGAUUUAGGAGUGAUGGACUGGCUGUGUCGCAGGCCAGGCCGUCCUCAUAGGCUUUAUGAACUGGGUCUUCUGGCUGUCACAGGCCAGGACCUGAGGAGGAGCACUCGCUCCUCUGUCACUUACUUAGGAGAGGCCAGCCGCAUUCCGGGCCAGACCAGCAUGGCGUUUGGAGUUCUGGUCCCUCUGACUCUCAGCCCGGGACCUCUCAGACCCAUGGCGGGAAUCACCCCUGCCAUCGGGACCUUCUUGUUCUUGCUGUACAUGCUCGAUCGAAGAUUUACUGCGAGCUUAUUUCCUGAGUGCAGUGCUAGAAAACCUGGAGAAGAAAGAAGGGCAAAACUCUUUUCUCUGUAUAGAAAGCUGCUUAAAAAAAAUGAAAGGAGACACAUCCUCCCAUCUCCAUGUAUUCAACAUCUUAGUAGAGAGUUGGAUAUCCACGGUUUCAAAAUUGAGGAUGGAAAUUGGCCUUAACCAUUCCAUGCCUCAGUUCCCUCAUUUAUAAAACAUGGGUGAAGCUAGUCAUGCUAAUAUCCUAUAGAUUUUCCUUCAACACACACAAAUAGUAUGUGACUUUAUGUACAGUGAUUAAGAUAUUAUCUAGAAGCUCUCUGUAAGUGUUAUCUACUGGCACUAUUCUUUGAAAAGUUAUUUUAAUUGGCAUGGUAAUCAUACAUAUUUAUGGAAAACAGGGUGAUAUUGCAAUACAUGCUGUCAUUAAUUCUAUGCGUGCAAUCGGGUUUUCCUAAAGUGGGUGACAGGAUAGGCAGUCAAGGGCACAGGAAAAAGUGACACCCGUGAAUCAGUGACUAAAGGAAGGAAAAACUAUAGAUGCAGACUCAUUGUUCUUUUGCCCAUCAACAAGGCUUCUUUUUUCAGCACCUCCGUGGUCUCUCUUUGGCUCUCUUUUCCAGGUCCCUGUCUCCUUCUGAGUCAUCAAGGGAAAUUAAGGGGGCCGGUCUCCAGCCCUGCCAGGCCCUGAACCGACCCUGCAGGUCACACUUAUGCACCACCCCAUCAUCACUCACUCGAAGCCAGGGCACCGCCCCUUCAGGUUAAAAUGAAAAUUAUUUAAAAGGAUGUAGUACAGCAGGCUCAGAUGCUGGUCUUUACUGCUUUAUGUCUUCAUGAUUCAAACUCUUACUAAUGAAGAGCGAGCCUUGAGAGCAGAAACACUUUGGUCCAGGCACCAGCACAGCUGCUCCUGUCUGAUCUGAAAAGCACGGUGCCUUCCUACGUCACAACUGCUCCCUGAAUCUCAUUUUCUUGUCUGUUAAAGGGUAUGAUAACCCAGGCUCCCAAUCUCCAAAGGGUUGUUGUGAGUACUUACUGGGUCUUGAACACAAGACCUCAGAUGCACUAAGCAAGCCCUGAGCUACACUAGCAACCUUAGUUUUUCCAUACGGUCACCAGCUUCACUGUGAGCUUCUUAUUUUAAAUAGAGAGCUUCUUGGUCCAAGUACCCUGUGGCUCAGUGUAAUAAAUAAACUUACAUCAGCUGAACAUUUGUGUACUGAUUGUCUAUUAAAUGGAACCCUUGUGUACCUUGCAUUACACUGGAUGUCUUUUUAACAUCUGACUUUGCUAUCGCAUCAGAACCGCCCCCUCCAACCCAAUCAGAAGCAAAGAUUAUGGCUUUCAUGUUUGUAUUCCCAACCACCUGGAAUCAUCCCAUUGUUGGUAACUGGAUGAAGAGAUAGAGAAAGGAGAAGAAGGAAAAGAAAGAAUUCUGUAACUCCUCCCAAAACCGAGGAGAUUCUCCCAAAACUAAUCACAUCCCUUAGUGAAAGUACUAAGGACGCAUAAGAAAUAGUUCUGAAGAUGAAGCUUCUUGUGUGAGAGGAAAUGGUUGGGUUAUGAGUCUCCAUCGUGUAGACCAGACAGAAUGUCCAGUCUACUCAGUAAAGUCCUUUGCCAAACACAGUGAAGUUGGCAUCUCAUGAUCAGAGAAGGAACUGUGCAAAAACAGCAUGUGUUGUCACCUGGCCUGCUGCUGUGUGGGCUAGACUUUUGUAGGAAGUGAGCUUACACUAGAAUUUCCUUUGCUAAUCCUAUGAGAUCCAUUGACCUUGCCAGCCAUCCAAAGCAUGUGAUGUCUGAACUCAGGACCGUGUUCUCUGGGCCAAGUCCGAAGUCCGAAUCACCUUCUCGGUGGGACGAGGAUGAGCAGCAUGGGCUUUCCCCUCUCAAGUACAAUUUGACGAAUGCUCGGGAGUACCGCAUCUGUUUGCCAUAAUGAUGAUGACUAUAAUAGCAAUAACAAGAUAUUUAUUAAGCACUCAGAAUGUGCCAACACUGUUAUAAACACUUCACAUGCUUUAGAAAAGUUAAUCUUCACAACAAUCCUAUGAGCUAAGUGGAGGGUUUUAGUAACUUUGCCAAGCGUGUGUAGCUGAGAAGUGGUAGGGCUGGACAGUGACAUAGGCAGCGACAUUUUGUCUCCUCAUGUUCCUUCCAUCUACCACAUACCCCUUGAUAUCGCUUUUGACAAUAUAUCAUGAGAGCCUUCUGACUGCACUGAGCCUAACAACUCCUUUGAAUCCAUCAAGAACCACUUCGGGAAAUCUGCGAGUUCCCCUAAAUUUCUCUUGUGCUUCCUAGGUACUUGGCACAUGCUGCUAUCACACUAAAUUUCAUUGUGUAUUUAUAUAUUUGCCUCUCUCACCAAACUGUGAGCUCCACGAGGGAGAAUACAGAUAAUACCACUCUUCUUUUUCCUCCUCGUCCCCAGGACUUGAUCUGGGUCAAUGUCUAUAGAAAUGUUUUGUGAAUGAAUAAAGAAAGAAUACAUAAGACAACUCAAGUUGUGUGAACAGAGUCAAAGUUCAGUCAGCAGAACAAAACUCUGAGCAGCCCGAGUAGAUGGCAUGGCGUGCGUGCUCUAUGGUGCAGAGAUCCUCAGAGAAGCACAGAUCCAAGGCACUGAGCUGUUCCUCUUCAUCUUUCUCAUGGAACUGCCUCAACCCCUCUCCAAGGAUAUGGUUUCACUGCAGCAACACCAUCCUGGGAUCAACCCCUUUCCUCCACCCUCUCGUGGCUGGUCCACAGUCCAGGAAAGCUCCCAAGCCGCACUGAGCCUAAGAACUUCACUUGGAAGCGGUUACUAUCAGGAAUGGAGGAGAUGUCAGUCCAAGAACCGUUGGAAGUGGUUACUUUCCACCAUAUGGGCCGAAGCCAAAAGAGCCUGUUUGUAGCAAGUGUGAAAAGUGAGUUGAUUCUAGGGGAGAAAAGUCCAGUUUAUAAUUUCAAAUACAGUGGACCUUUGACUUACGAACUUAAUUUGUUCCCAAGGGCUGGUUGUAACUCAAGUUGGUCAAUGAAGGCUCGGGCUCCUCUACACAGCCUUCAAAGUCUCUCUCCUGUGUACAGGAAGAUCUCAGUGUCCUUAGAGAGACACUGGCCCAGGAUUUCUCUGUUAACCCCACACAGAGAGGAUGUUGUCAUGCUCCUUCCAGAACUCUUUAAGGGUGAAAUCUAUACCUGAGACCAUUUGGAAGCACAAGUGGCCAGCAUUCAGGUCAUAACUCGAGACUUUGUUUGUAAGUUAAAACUAAAAUUCAGAUCAUAAACAAAGUUGCUUGUAUGUCAGGCUGGCUGUAACUUGAGGGUCCACUUAAACUUUAUGGCUAGACCUCAUAGUACUCUACUUACUGAGACCAAAGAGUCCAUGAGAAAAACACUCCUUUUAUGGAAUUCAUUUUUGUGUGUGUGUGUGUGUGUGUGUGUGUGUGUGUGUUUGGUGCCGGGGAUCGAACUCGGGUCCUUGCGCUUGUGCAGCAGGCGGUGAAACUGAAUUCACUUUUAUCUCCCAGCUAUAGCCCAGUCAAGGUUUGCUCAAUGAAUGAAUAAGUAGGGUCUUGAGAAAAUAGCUAGCUGAAGGGAAGGCGUAAUGGUCCUGAUUACCUGGAUCUUGGAAAGUUUCAUAUCUCGGGUAGGAUUAUCAUUGACUGUCAUAGUUGAGCCCAUCAUUUUCACUUAGAAACUUUUGCUCUGAAGACUGGCAGGAGUUCCUUUGGGUGACUGGGUAAUUACCAGAGUCACCUGGGAAGCUUCUAUAGAUGUCAAGCUCUGGAUUCCAGCCCAUGGAAAUUCUGAUUCAGUAUCUGAGUGGGGUUACAGAGUCUGCAUGUCUGAGAACGUUUCCCGGGUGAUUCUGCUGACGAGCCGGGUUUCCUGAGUUCCAUGGACUCCCAUACCCUGUGGCUCACCCCUGUCCUUGCUGUAAAUUAUUUAUCACAUAAGUGGAUAUUUAGGUAGCAUCGAUUUAUUAUUCUUUCAGGGAACACUUACUAUCAAAUAUAUGUAAAGCCU